AGUGGCGGACGGGUGAGUAACACGUUGGUGACCUGCCCCGAGGAGGGGGAUAACUGUGGGAAACCAUAGCUAAAACCCCAGAAGUUGAGAAGUUUAGACGCACUCAACUAAAGUUCCGGCGCCUCGGGGGGGGCCUGCGGGCUAUCAGCUAGUUGGUGGGGUAAAGGCCUACCAAGGCAAAGACGGCUAGGGGGCGUGAGAGCGCGACCCCCCACAAUGGGACUGAGACACGGCCCAUACUCCUACGGGAGGCAGCAGUGAGGAAUAUUGCACAAUGGGGGCAACCCUGAUGCAGCAACGCCGCGUGAACGAAGAAGGCCUUCGGGUUGUAAAGUUCUUUUCUGGGGGAAGAUAGUGACGGUACCUCAGGAAUAAGUCCCGGCUAACUACGUGCCAGCAGCCGCGGUAAAACGUAGGGGGCGAGCGUUAUCCGGAUUUACUGGGCGUAAAGCGCACGUAGGCGGUUUGACAAGUUGGAUGUGAAAGCUCCUGGCUUAACUGGGAGAGGUCGUCCAAAACUGUCAGACUUGAGGUAGGAAGAGGAGAGCGGAAUUCCCGGUGUAGUGGUGGAAUGCGUAGAUAUCGGGAGGAACACCAGUGGCGAAAGCGGCUCUCUGGUCCAGGCCUGACGCUGAGGUGCGAAAGCGUGGGGAGCGAACGGGAUUAGAUACCCCGGUAGUCCACGCUGUAAACGAUGGAUACUAGGUGUAGGAGGUUAUAUACCCCUUCUGUGCCGAAGCAAACGCGUUAA
rnacentral:rRNA from 1 species